rnacentral:rRNA from 1 species
CUANUCCUUGAUAGGUGAGAACUCCUGGAAUGGAUUCUUUCUCAAAAGAUGCUUUGAUCAUGCUUCUAGGCAUCGCCCAAGGAGGGGGCCGCGGCCGAUCAGGUUGUUGGUGAGGUAACGGCUCACCAAGCNUCUGACCGGUACGGGCCGUGAGAGCGGAAGCCCGGAGAUGGGCACUGAGACAAUGGCCCAGGCCCUACGGGGCGCAGCAGUCGCGAAAACUCCGCAAUACACGAAAGUGUGACGGGGCUAUCCCGAGUGCCAUCCGCUGAGGAUAGCUUUUCCCCAGUGUAUAAAGCUGGGAGAAUAAGGAGAGGGCAAGACUGGUGUCAGCCGCCGCGGUAAUACCAGCUCUCCGAGUGGUGGGGAUGUUUAUUGGGCCUAAAGCAUUCGUAGCCUGCUAGCCAAGUCCUCCGUUAAAUCCACCGAUUCAAUCGUUGGGCUGCGGGGGAUACUGUCUAGCUAGGGGGCGGAAGAGGCCGACGGUAUCCCCGGGGUAGGGGUGAAAUCCUAUAAUCCCGGGUGGACCACCAGUGGCGAAGGCUGUCGGCUAGAACGCGCUCGACGGUGAGGGAUGAAAGCUGGGGGAGCGAACCGGAUUAGAUACCCGGGUAGUCCCAGCUGUAAACGAUGCAGGCUAGGUGUUGGCGCGGCUACGUGCCGCUCCAGUGCCGCAGGGAAGCCGUUAAGCCUGCCGCCUGGGAAGUACGGCCGCAAGGCUGAAACUUAA